AAUUAUAGCAAUCACAUGAAUGAUGUGGUAUUUGGAGAUUCACCUAUUCUAUCUUAGUCUUUUUAAAAAAGUAUUUUAAUUAUAUUUGAUGAUUCGGUAUAACUGCUAUACUGUAAACUUUCUCCAUUAUUACGGUCUAAUUUAGAAAUGGACAAACUUCAAAUACUAUUCCUUUCGUUUCGCACUUUCUCAUUUUAGUACCAUAUGAUUUAAAGCAUAUCAAGUUAGUAUUCCGUGGUUUUAUUUUUAUCUUUUCGUCAGCUUUUUCGUUAAUAUUUCGUUAAAUUAUAUACAAAAAACUUCAGAUACCCCAAUUAGGUUUAUCGAAUAUUCACUUUAGUACCCUUUAUUUUUAACUUUGUCCUUAAUUUAACAAAAAAAAUUAGUAAAAUCGAUAAUAAAAGAAUAAAAAUAAAAUCACAUGGUACUAAAUUGAUACACUUUAAAUUAUAUGGUAUUAAAGUGAGAAAAUAUGAAAUCACUAGGAUAAUAUUUAAAAAUUUUUCUUUAGAAAUUUUGUCAGAAAUAUUUGAAAUUG
rnacentral:lncRNA from 1 species